rnacentral:rRNA from 1 species
UACGUAGGGUGCAAGCGUUGUCCGGAAUUACUGGGCGUAAAGAGCUCGUAGGUGGUUUGUCGCGUUGUUCGUGAAAACUCACAGCUUAACUGUGGGCGUGCGGGCGAUACGGGGCAGACUGGAGUACUGCAGGGGAGACUGGAAUUCCUGGUGUAGCGGUGGAAUGCGCAGAGUAUCAGGAGGAACACCGGUGGCGAAGGCGGGUCUCUGGGCAGUGAACUGACGCUGGAGGAGCGAAAGCGUGGGGAGCGAACAGGA